GACAAUGAAACAAGCUCAGAUGAUCACGGAACAAAGCAGGAUAUUCAAGUGGCUGAAAAAUUAUUUUCCAAAUUUCACGGGGGAUGCCACCCAGCUUACUGUGUAUGAUGAGGCUCAAGCACGAUCGCAAGAUACACAAUUACGUUAUACUGCUUACUGUUUAGGAUGGAGGGUGAAAAAUAUUUUCUCUUUUGCAAAGUCUCACCCUUAAUCACAUUAUUCUUGACAGUGGGCCGAAAACAGCUCAUUAUCUAUCUUUAUAUAUUCAUUCUAGUUUCAUUUAGAUUGACUUAAUUAAUUUGUUAUACUAUUCUCUUUUGCGUCUCUUUUUCAAGUAAAAUUCGGCAACUCACUCUCUCUCAAACCAUGGCAAAAUCGCGUCUUUUAUUGGUAUCGUUGCCUAUAUAUAUAGCCUUAUACGAAAUUAUAAUGAUAACUGGAUGGGUGUCAGUAUCACUGUAUGGGGGAGUUAUAAAAUUGGUUGGGUAGUAAAAGGAGAAGGGAGGGAGUAAAAGGUCUCAUGUUCAAUUUUUCUUAUUAACAAAAAAUUAAUAAUUAACAACAAAUAUUUAUCGAUAAAAAAAAAAAAUCACUGUAUCGGUGUCCAACUCUUUGGAAGCAUGCUUUGAUGUAAUAACAAGAAUUUUCUGUCUAUUGUAAUUUGUAAAUACCAUUUAUUUUAAAACUGGGACUUAUCUUCCGUGUGCUUUCAGUUGCCAUGAGAAGCCAUUCUCUCCGUUGUAUUGUACUAAAGGCGAAAUAGUAAUGGUUGCCACUUACUCCACUAACAAAAGGGGUAAGUUCCUAGCCUUUUUUUGUUUGUGUUUGUGAUAGUGGGUAUAACACUAACUGUUAAUCAUCAAAAUUUGAAUAUAAAUUUCUGCAGUCAUUGGUGGGCAACUCCAUAUGGUCCUUUUCCUGGGGUCUUUUUGUUGAAUUUUGAUAUUUUGCUACCUGUAUGAUUGGUUUGGUUGCUAGAUCAAUGGAUCUGAAGUUUUGCCUAAUUUUUAGUUAUAUAAUUGCAUGCCUUGUCUUGAUGAUCAAGGAUUAUAUGCUUGUACUUUUAUAUCUCUGUUUUUACUUCUUUUGAUGUUUUCUGAUUAUUUUCUCUUUUCUUGUAUUGUGUCUAUCAAAUGUAUUAUUUCAACAUCAUAUGAUCUAGUGUUGCAUUUUGUACGAAUUUACCAGGUCAGUGAUGAUGGUAAUUGGUAAGUCUACUCCAUCGUUGUUUGGCUGGUGUAGUAGCUAUUAGUGUAGAUCAGAUUGUAAUGAGAGGAGUUUGCUAGAGUAGGAUGUCUAUGUAAUAAAUAUAGAGCAUAGAGGCUAUGGCCUCCUCCAUUUCUAACCACGAGUUUUAUCCAUUGAGAAUCACAUUACUACUUAUAGAAUAGGAGAGAGUGCUUAAUUCCUCAAGUAAAUCUAGAUCAACUAUAGAUGAUGAAGUUACUUAUACAUGAUUUAUGAUGUAUGUAGUGUUUAAGUGUUUUAUAAUCAUAUAUGCCCUUUCAACUAAACCUUACAUGGUCUUAUUUGAAGGUCAAAAGGAGCUCACAAGUAUAGGAGACAUCUAUCAAUGGGUUAAACAACAGAUCUAAUGGCACCACACCCAAAACAUUACACAAGGAGUCUGUGAAUCUUUUUACUUGUGGUCCUCUCAGCCCAUUUUGGAAUUUGGACCAAUAUGGAACUUCAUUACUCGCACUCUACUAUCCAACAUUACUCCUCCCCCUCUCUCUUUUGGUUAUUGUUUUUGCUUCCAUAUAUUCCUAUGAUAUAAAGCUUUGAAGGUGCUAAGUGAAUACGUAAUUAUGUAUUCAGUGGCAAGUGGUAACAUGGCAUUUGUGCUUAUACGUAAAAUACUUUUCUGAAUCACUCAUGGAUUGGUAGCUCAAAAAAUUGGUGAACAUGAUGCAUCUUCUAUCUUGUGGUCCUUGUGUUGCAUAUUAGUAUGCAGAAUCCCAACUGAACCUCUUAUAUUCUUACUGAAAAUGUUAGUGGAAAAUGCCAUAAUGACAUUGUGGCUGCUGCAACUUUUAUUAUGGUUGAUUAGCACAAAUUUUGUGCAAUAACUGAGUGUCUGGAGUUUAUGUCAACGAGUGUGAUUUCCAUCGGGGAAUUCUAUUGACAAUCUUAGAUAGGCAUUGCUUUGCAACACGUUUCUAUUUUUCUCUGGGCAACAUGAUCCAUAGUAGUAUACAAAAUACUGAAGUAUUCCUACAAGUUACUUAAAAAAUCCAAUUUCAGUAUUUUGUUGAUAAAUUAUGCAUGUGUUCUUUCAUAAUGAUUCUGAUUUUGUAAAAGCAAUAGAUAUGCCAAGUUGCCAACACUUAUCAGUCACCUCGGAGGAUGUUAGCUCUCUCCCCUCUGAAAAGAAUUUUGCCUCACACUGAGUAUCAUGUGAGCCACUGUAAUUGUGUAGACUAGCUUCUUCUAGAUAGUCAGGGUAUUGAAACUGAAACAUAGUUUAUCCAGUGGCACGUUUAGGGUGAAAAAUGCUAAUUGAUUAGUGAU
rnacentral:lncRNA from 1 species